GAUGAAGCGAGGAGGUGAAUAUGAUGAGGUCUACCGCAAAAUCGUUCUACCAACGCUACUUUUCUGCGACGCAGGAAGCGUCCUGGCUGGCCCGCCUGAUGGCAGGACGACAGCAGGAAAUUCUGGGGGAACUGAUGCAGUGGGGAGUGACGUCAACGACCUCUGAUCAUUGACUUGCAGACAUCAUGUGUGACUGAGUAUUGGUGUUAUACUCGUCGUUUUUC
rnacentral:sRNA from 3 species